rnacentral:rRNA from 1 species
UACAGAGGGUGCAAGCGUUGUUCGGAAUUACUGGGCGUAAAGCGCGCGCAGGCGGUCUUCCAAGUCAGUGGUGAAAGCCCGGAGCUCAACUCCGGAACUGCCAUUGAAACUGUAAGACUUGAGGAUGAGAGAGGUGAGUGGAAUUCCCAGUGUAGAGGUGAAAUUCGUAGAUAUUGGGAAGAACACCGGUGGCGAAGGCGGCUCACUGGCUCAUUUCUGACGCUCAGGCGCGACAGCGUGGGGAUCAAACAGG